AUUGAACGCUGGCGGCAUGCCUAACACAUGCAAGUCGAGCGAGCGGCGGACGGGUGAGUAAUGUAUGAGGAUCUGCCCGAUAGAGGGGGACAACUACUGGGAACGGUGGGUAAUUCCGACUAAUAUAGGAUGAAGCCAUAUGGGAAGGGCUAGUAGGGGGGGUAAAGUCUCACCGAGGCGACGAUCUCUAGCUGGUCUGAGAGGAUGAGGGGCAACACUGGGACUGAGAACCGGCCCAGACUCGUACGGGAGGCAGCAGUGGGGAAUAUUGCACAAGGGGCGAAAGCCUGAUGCAGCCAUGCCGCGUGUAUGAAGCAGGCCUUCGGGUUGUAAAGUACGUUCAUCGGGGAGGCGUUACCCGCAGAAGAAGCACCGGCUAACUCCGUGCCAGCAGCCGCGGUAAUUC
rnacentral:rRNA from 1 species